AUUUAGAGGAAGGAGAAGUCGUAACAAGGUUUCCGUAGGUGAACCUGCGGAAGGAUCAUUGUCGAAACCUGCCCAGCAGCACGACCCGUGAACUUGUUUACCACAUUGACAAGCGCGUGUGGCCAGUCCUCGGAUUGGCAACAUGCCCUUGUAAGUCGAGGGGUGCCAAUGGCUCAUGCAGCCUUUGGCUCCUCAAGACAACAACAAACCAAAUCCCGGCGCGGGUUGCGCCAAGGAACAAUCAAAAACUCAAGGAACCCUUCUCCAUCCUGGAAACAGUGUGUGCGACGAGGGCUUGUUCCUUUUAGUUGUAAUCAAAACGACUCUCGGCAACGGAUAUCUCGGCUCUUGCAUCGAUGAAGAACGUAGCGAAAUGCGAUACGUGGUGUGAAUUGCAGAAUCCCGUGAACCAUCGAGUUUUUGAACGCAAGUUGCGCCCAAGGCCUUUUGGUUGAGGGCACGUCUGCCUGGGUGUCACACAAUGUUUGCCCAAACCCAAAUUAUCGUGGGAUAAGGGCGGAUGUUGGUCUCCCGUGUGCCAUUUGCUCGCGGUUGGCCCAAACACAAGCCUCUCUGAUGUUGUACACGGCAAUCGGUGGUUUAAAGACCCUCGGACAACGUCGUGCACUCUCGUCACAUUGGCACUAAUACCCCCAAAGCAAUCGUUGCAUGCUCAUAAAGCGACCCCAGGUCAGGCGAGACUACCCGCUGAGUUUAAGC
rnacentral:misc_RNA from 1 species